rnacentral:rRNA from 1 species
UACGUAGGUGGCGAGCGUUGUCCGGAAUUACUGGGUGUAAAGGGCGUGUAGGCGGGGCGGCAAGUCAGAUGUGAAAUUCCGGGGCUUAACCCCGGCGCUGCAUCUGAAACUGUCGUUCUUGAGUGUCGGAGAGGAAAGUGGAAUUCCCAGUGUAGCGGUGAAAUGCGUAGAGAUUGGGAGGAACACCAGUGGCGAAGGCGGCUUUCUGGACGAUAACUGACGCUGAGGCGCGAAAGCGUGGGGAGCAAACAGG